AAACCCGAAAGCUACCUUUAUAACUACCCUGUUACGGCGUAGCGUUUGAUAGCCCCUAAGUAGGUCGAUCCACAUCUAGAAUACAUGCGACAAUCUCAGGUCUAAGGACAAAGCGUAUAUGUUGUUUAAAGAGAGAACUACUUCUCGUGUUGGGUCAGUCCUAACACAUGUCUCCACAUGUGUCCACAUUAUUAGUUCAACAUCUCCAUGUCCAUGACUUGUGAAACAUAGUCAUCAACUAAUACAUGUGCUAGUCUAAUAUUCAUGUGUGUCCUCACAUGAACUCCGACUAGGGACAACUUUAGAAUAACCAUACAAGUAAAGAGUUUCACAUACAAUUCACAUAAUUGCAAAUCAAUUCAAGUAGCCUUUAAUGGAUAUUCAAUGAACACAAUAUACAUAUCAUGGAUACAAAUGGAAUAUCAUCAUCUCUAUGAUUGCCUCUAGGGCAUACCUCCAACAAUUUUUUCCUCCGACGCCUCCCCUCCCAUCCUCGUCCAGUCCGCCUCCUCUCGUCGAGCCCAAACCUCCUCCCCAUCCUCCUCCAGUCAUCCUCCGCCAAGAUCCACACACCUCCCCCUAGAUCCGGUUGCCUCCCAAGUCCCCGCCGCUCCCCAUCUGCAAUGCCCGGGUCAAUGAGGGAGUACCAUCACGACGCUAGGGGUUGUUUUGCCUGGGGCAACAAGCUCAUAAAGUUGGAGACGCCGUCGAAGGCCCACACCGCGGGAGGUUGGGGCCGCCGUGGCGACGCUUCUUCCUCACGUCGUCAACA
rnacentral:lncRNA from 1 species